ACCUUUUUCCUUCUUACUGCUGCAUAGUGUUCCAUCAUAUGUAUAUACCACAUUUUGUUUAUCCACUCGUCUGCUGAAGGACACAUGGAUUGUUUCCACCUCUUCACAGUUGUGAACCGUGCUGCUGUGAAUGUCAGUGUGCAAAUGCCUGUUCCAGUCACUGCUUUCAGACCUUCUGGGUAUAUACUGAGAAGUGAAAUUGCUGAAUCGUAGGGUAACUCGAUGUCUGCUUUUCUGAGGAGCCGCGGAAGUGUCUUCCACAGUCACUGCACCACUGUACAGUCCCACCAGCAAUGAAUGAAAGUUCCAGUUUCUCCACAGCCUCCAGCUUCUCUAGUUUCCAGUUUACAUUUGUUUUUAAAGUGGGUCCAACCUGUUUUUCCAACGUGAAUGGUAGGAGGAAAAGAAGUGUCAGAUGUGACCUGAGUUGAGUGACCUUAGCGGCUGGAAGGAUGAAAAUGCCAUCAGCUAAGAUGAGAAAGUCAAUGAUAGGAGUAAUUUCAGUGGUAAUAUUAGGCUUUAGGUUAUGGCUUUAGGAAGGCCGAGACUGGUGAGAGAACCUCUUUGCAACACAGAGUGGCGGAAGACUAAGGUUAUCCAAAAUCUGUGGGUAGUUCUGGGUUGCUGAGGAUGGGAUCCUGAUUGCAUUUACCAAGCACCCUCUGAUGCCAUGUGCAGGGCGCUGUGUGGAGAGGCCAGGGAGAUGGAUGUGAUGUGUAGGGAGUGGCAGUUUCAGUGAGUGGUAGGGGAUGGAGGAAGGUGGGGUGCAUUAGAAGUGUGCAUGUUGCGAGGACUAUAUACCAGAAGCCCCAGCAUCCUGUUACUGGGACUUGAGGUAGACCAGAGAUGCAAAUUUGGUUAUGACUGGAAAGCACAAUCUUAGGGAUCAGGGUGAAUUGACUCACAGGAGAGGGCAGGACACUGCUUUCCAGACCCAGUGCUUCCAUGUCCUCAGUCUCUCCAUCGCAUUGGCCUCUUACAGGCUCCGGAUGGGUGCAGGAAUCAGUGGCACAUGAGCAGAGAGUGGACACCAGUGGCCCAGGGCCUGGGAUCACUACUGACUUGGGGGACUGGGGAAGAGGGUAUGCAAGGGGUGCAUGUUUGGGGAGUGCUUGGACUGUGGGGCAGGAAGCUGCACAUCACCUCAUGUGUCCCCAUCGUGGCAGGGCCAUGUGACCUUUGAGGACGUGGCCGUGUACUUCUCCCAGGAGGAGUGGGGGCUCCUUGAUGAGGCUCAGCGAUGCCUGUACCGCGAUGUGAUGCUGGAGAACUUUGCACUUACGGCCUCCUUGGGAUCUGCAUCUCCCAGGACCCAUGAACUUACCCAGCUGGAGUGGCGGAGGGAGCCCUGGUUGCCUGACCAAGGGGCUGUGACUCCAGCCUCCUCAAGAGGUUAUUGGCUUGGAGUGGAGGCUGAGGAGGCUCGUUCUGAACUGAGUGUUUCUGUAGAAGAAGGAUCACAGAUCAGGAAUCUCAAGACAGGUCCACCCACCCAGAAGGGCCAACUUGGUGCAAUGUGUGGCCCUGUCUUCAAAGAUAAUUUACAAGUGCCUCUGCAUCAGGGAGCCCAUCUUGGGCAGAACCCAUACACUUAUGGGGCAUGUGGUAAACAAUUCAGCACAGACCUUCACCAGCACCAGAAACUACGUACUGGAGAGAACCCUUUCAGGACAGAAGGCAGCAGGGUCUCUAUUAUGAAGAGCCAUAGGAUUCACCUCUCAGAGAAAUCCUUCCAAUGUGGGGAGGAUGGGAAGGACUUUCCAACCAGCUUGGGUCUUCUUGAGUAUCAGGUGACUUGUGGUGGAGAGCCACAGAGGAGCACAGAGUUUGGGGAGGCCUUUCACCCUGGAAAAAGACAUUACAGAUGCAGUGAAUGUGGAAAAGCUUUCAAUAAAAAACGCUUACUUGUUCAGCACCAGACACUACACCCUGGAAAAAUGUCCUUUAGGUGCAGUGAAUGUGGGGAAACCUUUAGGUACAACACCAGCCUCAUUAAACACCAGAGAGUCCACAGUGAAGAAAAGACUUUCGUGUGCAGUGAAUGUGGAAAAGCCUUCACCCAUAACUACUUACUUGUUUAUCACCAGAGAGUUCACACUGGAGAAAAGCCUUUUGUUUGCAGUGAAUGUGGAAAAGCCUUUACUCAAAACUACUUACUUGUUCGGCACCAGAGAGUACACACUGGGGAAAGGCCUUAUAGGUGCAGUGAAUGUGGAAAAUCCUUUAGCCUCAAUGCUGACCUCAUUCAACACCAGAGAAUUCACACUGGAGAAAAGCCUUUCACAUGCCAUGAAUGUGGGAAAGCCUUUAGGCAUAAAUCCACCUUUCGUAGGCAUCGGAUAGUUCACACUAUAGAAAAGCCUUAUGAGUGCCGUCAAUGUGGGAAAUUUUUUAGUGAACGCUCUGGACACAACAUUAUUCAACACUAGAAAAUUCACACUGGAGAAAAGCCUUUUAUGUGCAGUGAAUGUGGAAGGUGCUUUAGAGAAAAUUCUAGCCUUAUUAAACAUGAGAGUUCACACUGGAGCCAUGCUGUAUGAAUGCGGUGAAUGUGGCAAAUUUUUUCGCUAUAGCUCCAGCCUUAUUCUGCAUCUGAGGUUUCACCCUUGAGAAAUGCCUUAUGAGUGCAGCGAUAUGGGGGAUUUUUUAACCAGUGGUUGAACCUUAUUCUUUCAGUAACCAGAGAGUUGACAAUGGAGAGAAGCCUUUUCUUGCAGUGAAUGUGAGAAAGUCUUUAGCCACAACUCCAUGCUUAAUGGACCCCGUGGAUUUGUAGUGGAGAGAGGCAUUAAAAUGUUGCAUGUGGGUAAUUCGUAUACAUACAUCCCACUUUCAACACCAGAGUCUUCACCCUGCAGAAAGGACCUAUGAGUGCAGUGAAUGUUGGUGAAUGUUUUAUAAAAUGAUUUAUAAAAUGGUUCCAUCUCAUUUGGCAGCAACAACUUCUAAACAGAGAACAGCCGUUGGAGUUUGGCAAAUGUGGAAAAGCCUUCAGCUGAAGGUCUUCUCUGACUCAUCGACAGAACCUUCACAAUCCACAUAGGCCUUGUGAUUUCGAUGAAUGUGUGUGUGAAAGAGCUUCAGUCUGAGGCACACCCUACUGUAGAAAGACGAAAGUGCCAGGAAUGUGCUGACUCCUUCAGCAUAAACCGGUUUUCAACCGAGAUAGGCUCUGAGAGUAGCCUUCAUGAGGGAGCCAUCAAUUGAACUUUGUUUACCCAAAUCGGUACCUUAGGAAGAUUUUCUGUGAGUUCUGUGAUGGAAACUGCCUAGUGUGUUGCAUGUCCUCACCUGUCCGUAGACUUUAUGUGAGUUAUCUCAGUGCCAGGGCUGGAAGCAGCAGUCAUCUCAACCCUCCCAGCUGGCUGGUCCCCACAUUGUCCAU